UACGAAGGGGGCUAGCGUUGCUCGGAAUCACUGGGCGUAAAGGGUGCGUAGGCGGGUCUUUAAGUCAGGGGUGAAAUCCUGGAGCUCAACUCCAGAACUGCCUUUGAUACUGAGGAUCUUGAGUUCGGGAGAGGUGAGUGGAACUGCGAGUGUAGAGGUGAAAAUUCGUAGAUAUUCGCAAGAACACCAGUGGCGAAGGCGGCUCACUGGCCCGAUACUGACGCUGAGGCACGAAAGCGU
rnacentral:rRNA from 1 species